AAGUCGUAACAAGGUUUCCGUAGGUGAACCUGCGGAAGGAUCAUUAUCAUAACGUAUCCACGUAUAAACCAACUUUAAAUUGAUGUGAAACGUAACUGUUUUAACACCUCGAGAUAAUCAGAUGAUUGCUAUACUUUAACAUUGUUUGCGUGAUUAAAGCAAAAACGGUUUAGUAUGGACCUGUGCCUGUAACAAGGUGCUAGCGCUGAUUAUUUGGAGUGUAAAAAUUUAAUCAACUAUUAACCCAUUGAACCGAAUUACUAUAUUCUUAACUGAGUUUAGUUAUUCAUUUUAAUUUCUAUUGUGUGAACUGAAUUGUCUACUUACUUGACACCGUCAUUGGUGGAGAGAAGUCGAUUAUAUUUACGAAACAUUAUAAAUUUCUAUGAACAACUCUUAGCAACGGAUAUCUUGGUUCUC
rnacentral:misc_RNA from 1 species